rnacentral:rRNA from 1 species
UACGAGGGGUGCAAGCGUUGCUCGGAAUUAUUGGGCGUAAAGGGUAGGUAGGUGGUCUCAUUUGUCAGAGGUGAAAGCCUUGGGCUUAACCCAAGAAGUGCCUCUGAAACGGUGGGACUAGAGUCCUGGAGAGGGUCGUGGAAUUCCCGGUGUAGCGGUGAAAUGCGCAGAUAUCAGGAGGAACACCAAUGGCGAAGGCAGCUCGCUGGGACGGUACUGACGCUGAGACGCGAAAGCGUGGGA